AACGAACGCUGGCGGCAUGCCUAACACAUGCAAGUCGAACGAAGGCUUCGGCCUUAGUGGCGCACGGGUGAGUAUCGCGUGGGAACCUGCCCUUUGGUACGGAAUAACUGCGGGAAACUGCAGCUAAUACCGUAUACGUCCUCCGGGAGAAAGAUUUAUCGCCGAAGGAGGGGCCUGCGUCCGAUUAGGUAGUUGGUGAGGUAACGGCUCACCAAGCCGACGAUCGGUAGCUGGUCUGGGAGGAUGAUCAGCCACACUGGGACUGAGACACGGCCCAGACUCCUACGGGAGGCAGCAGUGGGGAAUAUUGGACAAUGGGCGAAAGCCUGAUCCAGCAAUGCCGCGUGAGUGAUGAAGGCCUUAGGGUUGUAAAGCUCUUUCACCCACGACGAUGAUGACGGUAGUGGGAGAAGAAGCCCCGGCUAACUUCGUGCCAGCCGCCGCAGUAA
rnacentral:rRNA from 1 species